GCGGAUGGCCGGAUGACCGCGGCGAAAGUCGAGGAAAGUCCGGACUCCAUAAGGUGACGGUGCCGGGUAACGCCCGGCGGGGGCAACCCCAGGGAAAGCGCCACAGAGAACAGACCGCCUGUGCCCGCACAGGUAAGGGUGAAACGGUGGGGUAAGAGCCCACCGGGGCGGUGGCAACACGGCCCGCAUGGCAAGCCCCACCGGGAGCAACGCCGAAUAGGGAUCUCGCGCCGGCAACGGCAGCGCCACCUUGCGCCAGAGGUCCGGGUUGGCGGCUUGACGCGCGCAGUAAUGCGCUGCGCAGAGGAAUGGUCAUCCAGAGGGGCAACCCUUGGACAAAAUCCGGCUUACAGGCCAUCCGCGUGU
rnacentral:RNase_P_RNA from 1 species